UACGUAGGGCGCAAGCGUUGUCCGGAAUUAUUGGGCGUAAAGAGCUCGUAGGCGGCUUGUCACGUCGGCUGUGAAAACCCGGGGCUCAACCCCGGGCCUGCAGUCGAUACGGGCAGGCUAGAGUUCGGUAGGGGAGACUGGAAUUCCCGGUGUAGCGGUGAAAUGCGCAGAUAUCGGGAGGAACACCGGUGGCGAAGGCGGGUCUCUGGGCCGAAACUGACGCUGAGGAGCGAAAGCGUGGGGGGCAAACAGG
rnacentral:rRNA from 1 species